UACGGGGGGAGCAAGCGUUGUUCGGAUUUACUGGGCGUAAAGGGCGCGUAGGCGGUCGUGACAAGUCACUUGUGAAAUCUCCGGGCUUAACUCGGAACGGUCAAGUGAUACUGUCGGACUAGAGUACAGAAGGGGCAACUGGAAUUCUCGGUGUAGCGGUGAAAUGCGUAGAUAUCGAGAGGAACACCUGCGGCGAAGGCGGGUUGCUGGGCUGAUACUGACGCUGAGGCGCGAAAGCGCGGGGAGCGAACGGG
rnacentral:rRNA from 1 species